CUUUCAAAUAUAUAGAGUAUUUCAAUUUUGAUGGAAGAGGAGAAAAUCAAGCAUUAUGUAAGCUAAAAAUCUUCGAAGAAUUUUUAAGAGUCGUUUACCAGCCACAAGGAUCUUUCAAUUUGGAAAAGACUAUACGGAGGUCUAUUGAACGGGGUCACCACCGAAAUA